rnacentral:rRNA from 1 species
AAUGGGCGAAAGCCUGACGGAGCAACGCCGCGUGAGUGAUGAAGGUCUUCGGAUCGUAAAACUCUGUUAUCAGGGAAGAACAAAUGUGUAAGUAACUGUGCACAUCUUGACGGUACCUGAUCAGAAAGCCACGGCUAACUACGUGCCAGCAGCCGCGGUAAUACGUAGGUGGCAAGCGUUAUCCGGAAUUAUUGGGCGUAAAGCGCGCGUAGGCGGUUUUUUAAGUCUGAUGUGAAAGCCCACGGCUCAACCGUGGAGGGUCAUUGGAAACUGGAAAACUUGAGUGCAGAAGAGGAAAGUGGAAUUCCAUGUGUAGCGGUGAAAUGCGCAGAGAUAUGGAGGAACACCAGUGGCGAAGGCGACUUUCUGGUCUGUAACUGACGCUGAUGUGCGAAAGCGUGGGGAUCAAACAGGAUUAGAUACCCUGGNUAGUCCACGCCGUAAACGAUGAGUGCUAAGUGUUAGGGGGUUUCCGCCCCUUAGUGCUGCAGCUAACGCAUUAAGCACUCCGCCUGGGGAGGACGACCGCAAGGUUGAAACUCAAAGGAAUUGACGGGGACCCGCACAAGCGGUGGAGCAUGUGGUUUAAUUUGAAGCAACGCGAAGAACCUUACCAAAUCUUGACAUCCUUUGACCGCUCUAGAGAUAGAGUUUUCCCCUUCGGGGGACAAAGUGACAGGUGGUGCAUGGUUGUCGUCAGCUCGUGUCGUGAGAUGUUGGGUUAAGUCCCGCAACGAGCGCAACCCUUAAGCUUAGUUGCCAUCAUUAAGUUGGGCACUCUAAGUUGACUGCCGGUGACAAACCGGAGGAAGGUGGGGAUGACGUCAAAUCAUCAUGCCCCUUAUGAUUUGGGCUACACACGUGCUACAAUGGACAAUACAAAGGGCAGCUAAACCGCGAGGUCAAGCAAAUCCCAUAAAGUUGUUCUCAGUUCGGAUUGUAGUCUGCAACUCGACUACAUGAAGCUGGAAUCGCUAGUAAUCGUAGAUCAGCAUGCUACGGUGAAUACGUUCCCGGGUCUUGUACACACCGCCC